rnacentral:lncRNA from 1 species
CAGUCAGCAAAUAUAAAUAUAACAAGUCUUAUUUGUUUAAUGAAUUUAUAAAAUAUAAAGGCUUUUCUCUGAAUUAUAAAAAAAGGCUUUUUAUGGCAAUUCUAUUAGUUUUCUACUGCAAUGUAACAAAUCACUGCACAUUUAGAUGAUUAAAAACCACAUAAAUGUAUUAUCUCAGUAGGUCAAAAGUCAACCUUAGGUCUCAGCAGGUGAAAUCAGGUGUCAGCAGGCUGUGUUCUCAUCUGGAGCUUGGGUCUCUCUUCCAAGCUCAUUCAGGUUGUUGACAGAUUUCAGUUCCUCUCAAGACUAAAGUUCCCAUUUUCCUGCUGAAUUUGGGUCAGGUGUGGCUCUCAUUUCCGAGAAGCCACUCUCAGGUCGUAGCCCUCUUAAAACAGGACAUUUUAUUUCAAUGUCAGCAGAAGAAUCUUUCUUAUACUUUAAAUCCCUUGCUUCAGAAGGCUCAGUUCCUUGUAAGGGUUUACCUAAGUAGGUCAACAGCACCAAGGAAGAUUUCUCUUUUGAACUCAGUGCUAAUGAAUAUGGGACCUUAACCAUAUCCAUGAAUCCUUUCACUUUAGUCGUGUAAUAUAACUUAACCACGAGAGAGAAAUCCACGAGACAGAAUUCCUUUCCUCCUCAUACAAAAAGUAGACUAACAUAUAUAUGUGGACAUUAGAAAGGGAGAAUCAAGCUUGAGAGCCAGCUUAACAUUCUGACCACCACAGGUAUUUAUAAUAAUUUUAUUGUAAAGUUUAGCAAAUUCAUGAAACAUCAUAGCUUAAAGUGUCUUCAAUCAUUCAUUCUGGUGUUUUAAAAAAUAUAUGCUUUUUUCAACUGAAAAUAAUACUUUAUCUUUCUUGUAUAUCAGGUUUUACCGUAAGAUUUCCUUUUCAGAAAAGUAUUUUAAAAUUAUUGAUUUUGUCAGUCUCUAAGGAUGCAGAGAUGGGAGGUUACAAAGUUGUCCAGAAUAGAAAAAAAAGAAAUAAUGAAAAACAAAAAAAUUAAAAUUUAAUUAAAUGAAAAACAAAAAAAAACCAAAAACAAUGUUGUCCAGAAUGACUAUAUUGAAUAAUGACAGAACUAGGAUGGCCCCCAUAUCUCUGACACCCACCAGUGUUCUUAGUUCUUAUAAAAUAUAUCACAGAUUAUUUUAACUGAUAUAUGCAUAAUAAGGAUUGGAAAAUCAUAGCUACCAGAUUUAUAAACCAGAAGCAUUAAACGAACAUUUAUUUUAGAGUAGUUAAAAUACAUUUUCUAAUUUGAAUUCCUGCUCUGUCACUUAAUCUUGUGAACUUUGGCAAAUUCCCGAACCACUCAUUGCUUCAGUAUUUCUAUAUUGCUAAAAGAAAAAAAAAAAAAGUGGAAAGCAAUAAUAUUUAACUCUUGAAGAAUUGAAAUGACUGAAGGAAAGAUAUAUAUGUAAAGCAUUUAGAUUUGUCACCCACUUAAAAUUUGCAUUUUUAUUGUUGUUAUCCUUAUUGUAAUUAUUAGUUUUUAAUAGUUACCCAUUUCCCAUCAUACUUGAAAUCUUUCUAGGUUCAUAAGAGGAAUGGGUUAAAGCUUAGUUUUAGAAGUUGAAAUAAAAACACAAAGUAUAUAUCACUAGGAUAUAAACCUAUAAGAAAUGGAUUUUUUGUUUAGUUCGCUGCUGUUUUCUGUCUAUAAAAUGGUGCCUACUAUAUUUUGGAAUGAAUACAUGAUAAAAAGUGAAGUUAUACAAAUAAAAGUUUACUUGUCUUUAUCAUAAAGAGCUACCUAAAAAAUAUUUAAACUUACAGAUUUGAUAAAACAGGGAAUCAAUUUCCAUAAAUAAAUAUAAACAUAACUGUAUAUUUUCAAGCUAAACUGUUGGCAUCAACUGAAAUCUAAUAUCAGUUUCUCUCUUCUUUUCUUUUCCUCCAAUGAUAAUACAAUCCUACUGCCAUUUAUUAGGAAUUUAAAUACUAUAUUCACUUCUAUUGCUUUUUUUCCUAAGACUACAUAUGAAAUAUUGAGAUGAAAUUUAUAAAUGAUUAAACAAGUAUAACUAUUUUUAAUACUUUCUUAGGUGUCAGCAAUUCAAUCCCAAUAGUAUACUGUACUUUCCAUCUAGAUAUCCUAAGGAAAUGUCAAUUUUCAAAUUUAUCAUAUUUUUUCAAAGAUGCUAUAUCUCUUGCUGUGUGUCUUAAUGCUGUUAAUAAUAUAGAUGCUGAUAUCCCUCUAGGAGCUGGUGUCUGUCAUUUUUCUUCACUGCUAUAUAUCUAGCAGUUAACAAGGUAACUUCCAAAUAUCACUACUCAAUAAAUAUUUGCCAAGUGAGUGAAAGCUAUCAUCAUCCUAGUCAAUCAAGGUGGCAUUCCUCUGACAUUUGUAUCCAAUCCCUUCAACUUAUUCUAGUUUCUUCACCCAUUAAGCUAUUCCAUGACCCCAACACUUUUUUCUCUACCUAUCACCACUCACCUGUCUUUACUGAUUUCCUUUUCCAUAAAAUAUUUCAUCUAGAACAGAGGUCAAAAUUUGAAGGUUGGAACACAUUUUUUAAAAAGCACAAUUGUCCUUCUUUUAUAUAGCGGAUUCAUUUUACUUAGGAGCUCCCAUUAUCAAUGACAAUAGAUGAUGAACAGGAGGAAGGGCCUAUAAACUUGCCAAUUAGAGGACUCUAAUUACACAGGGUCAAAGACACUUUUUAGGAUGGUUUUAUAGGCCCUUAUACCUCCUGUCAUGACUUAAAGCUCCAGGGAUUGGGGGUGAUCUUUUCUCUCCUCCCAUCUGUGAAUGGUGGGUCACUGGGAAAACAAAUCCAUGUUAGUGUCAGGAGAAGCUUUGGAAAUAACUAUCGUCCAGUGUGUCACUGCUGGCCCCUGUGUCAGUGUUGCCUGUUACACUCACCAUUCGAAUUAGUCUCUACUGACGGGGUGAUUCUUACCUGCCUUACGGAAUGAUGCUUUCAUCUGUGGGUGAGCAAUUGGAGUUUCCAUUGCCUCGGUUUCUAGGGCUGCCCUCUCCGUAGUGUCUUUGCUAAAGUGAUCCUCCCACCUCAGCCAGCAGAGUAGCUAAGACUGCAGAUGUGCACCACCAAGCCUGGCUUUUUUUUUUUUUUUUUUUUUUUUUUUUUUUAAUUUUUGUAGAGACAUCCUUAUGUUGCCCAGGCUGGUCUCAAACUCCUGGGCUCCAGCGAUCCUACCACCUUGGCCUCCUGAAGUACUGGGAGUACAGGUGUGAGCCACUGUGCCUGGUUUCAGUGGACUCUUCACGUCAGACAUCUUCAGUCUGUGCAGCAGUCCAGACCAGAAACCUGGCAUAUGCUGUUUACACACAAGGGCUCCAAAGUCCCUUACUACUUUCUAGGACCCAGGCUGUCUUGUGGUAUUUUCUCUAAGUGUGUCUGAAAUGUUCAUUUAGUAUAUCCCUCAAAUGUGGCUAUCCUCAGGCUCUCUGAUGAUCUUGAAAUUACCAUGAUUAAUAAAAAUCUGCUCUGAAAAAUGUGUCCUCUUUCCACACUCUGUGAGACCCAGCCCUUGAAUAUGUUAUCAGGUACCUCUAAAACCUAUAACUGCCCCCACCCAAGCUUGCCAGCCUGGCCACACACGAGAGGUUUUGGAGGUUCCUCACAUUCAUUGGUAUGUUCUCUGCCAUAAAUGCUUAAUUAUUUUACACAUACAGAGUUUUUUUUUUUUUUGCCUCCCCCCCAUUAGCAUUGGCUCAAGCUUCAAGUACCAUACAAUGCUAAAUAGAAGUGCUGAAAAUAAACCACCAUAUUUUAUUUCUGAUUUCAAGGGAAAUUUUUAAUCAUUCAAUAGGCCACUUGCUUUAACUUUUUAAUAGGUAACUUUGUCACAUUAAGUUCCUUUCUGUUCCUACGUGGAAGCCGGGUGAGGCCUGUGACUGCUGGCUUUCCCCUACUUCCCUGGCAACCUGUAUAACUCAGCAGAGGCAGUCAUAGUCCUCCUGGAAACAAAACUCCAUUGGUCUGAGAACCACACCCCAAUCCCCCACAGCAGCUACAGCAAGCCCCACCCAAGGAGAGUCUGAGCUCAGCCUAUCCCUGACCCCACUUGAUGGUCUUUCUCUACCUGCCCUGGUUGCUGAAGACCAAGGACAUAAUCUCUUGAGAGCUCUAUGGCCUUGCCUACUGCCUGAGAAACCUGAAUAUUUAAACAGGCGAGUUUGCUUCCUCCCUAUACAAAAGCAGCUGAUGUGCUUUUGAAAGGGCCACCUUCAGGCUGGAGGCCAAAAAGAAACCACAAAACCAGUUCAUUAACCAAAAAUACAACCAAGGACCCUCAAAAAGUUCAUUCCCCUGCUACCUCCAUUGGAGCAGGUGCUGGUAUCUGUUAUGUGUGUGCCUAAUUGAAGAGAGUACCCAAUCAGCCUAACUGUGAGCAACAUGGCUAUUUACUCACUCGGGUGCAAGCGGGCUGAGUCUGAAAAGAGAGUCAGGGAAGGGUGGUGGGAGUGGAACUGGUUUUAUAGGUUUGGGGUAGGUAGUGGAAAGUUACAUUUAGGGGCAGAUUUUUCAGGCAGGGGAAGAAUGUCACAAGGUGCAUAGUCACAAGGUGGGGGGAGGUCACAAGGCACGAUAUCACAAGGUCGACUGAUUCCACAAUGGUGGAAUGUUGCAAGGUCUGUUAUCAGUUAAGGCAGGAACUAGCUGUUUCUUCAUCGUUAGUGGUUCUCCUGUUGCUCCAGGCUUUGUGACUCCAGGAGGCCUGUACGUGUGGGUCACAGGGGUCAUAAUGGGUGGGAGGGGGGUGAGGAAUAAAAGGCUAUUCAUCGUGUACAGCGUAUGCUUCUUGGGUGAUGGAUGCACCAAAAUCUCAGAAAUAACCAUAAAGAACUUAUUCAUGUAACCAAAUAUGACCUGUUCCUCAAAAACCUAUUGAAAUAAAAAAUUUUAAAAAAGAACACUGAUAAGUUUUUCUUUACCAUAGUCCAUGUGAAAAUAUUUAUAUUUCACUUUUCUUCUUAAAGCACAUUUAUGUUUUUCUCUUACUCAUUUCAUAGUUUGAGGUUUGCAGAUUUUUUUUUUAAUUUUUCAGUCCCCUGAAGGAAUCAAGAUAUUAUCUUCUGGUUGGCCUAAUUUCUGCUACAAAGCCAGUUGUCAGACUGGCUGUUAGGCUUUCGAAGGUAAUCUGAUUUUUGUUUGUUUGUUUAUGAUAUCUUUGAAGAUUUUCUUUUUACCUUUGGUUUUCAAAAGUUUUGUUGGUUUUUGAACAUACAUUUCUUUUUACACAUCUUAGUUGAUAUUUGUUGAGUGGCCAACAAACAUAUGAAAAAAAGCUCAUCAUCACUGAUCAUUAGAGAAAUGCAAAUCAAAACCACAAUGAGAUACCAUCUCAUGCCAGUCAGAACGGCCAUUAUUAAAAAGUCAAGAAACAAUAGAUGCUGGCGAAGCUGUGGAGAAACAGAAACGCUUUUACACUGUUUGUGGGAGAAUCCUUCUUCAAUUUACUUCUUUGGUCAGUUUGUGAGACUUUCUAGCCAUUACCUCUUUAAUUAUGACCUCUGCCCAUUUUCUGUCAUUAUUCGCUUUCUCUGAAUUGAAUUAAAUGUAUUUUAGAUUUUCUCAGUGUAUUUUCUAUAUUUCUUACCUGUCUUCUCUAUUUUUCAGUUUUCUCUGUACUUCUUUCUGUCCAUUUUUUUCUAAACUACUUUAUGUUCACUAAUUUCUUUCAGCAUGUCACAUCUGUUACUAAAUGUCAUUAAUGGGUGUGGUGUAUGUAAGAUUUACAUACAGUAGAAUACACAAGUUUAUAGUGUAUGGAUUGAUUAAAUUUAUCAAAAUUAUAUACCCUUACAGUGAAAAUCCACAAUGUAAGACAUUGUCCAGCACACCAGAAAGUUUUCACCUAUUUCCUUUCAGUCAAUGUCCUCUCUCAUGGUCAUUCAAUGUUUUGAUUUCUAUCUUCCUACACUAGUUUUGCUUAUUUUGAAUGUUAUAUAAAAUGAAUCACACAGUAAAUGUCAUCCUUUUGUGUCAUCCUUCUUUUGCUCAAUAUACGUUUGUGAUUCAUCCUUGCUGUCGCAUCAUUAGUUUAUUCUUUUUAUCGCAAAAUACUGUUCUUUGUAUGACUAUACCAUGACCUAGCUAUCCAUUCUCCUGGUUAAUGAAUAUGUGGGUGUUGUCUAGCUUUUAGUCAUUAUCAAAGGAUGUUUUAGACAUUAUGAAAUAAAUGUUUCUGUUCAGGUCAUAUUGUAGAUAUAGAUCUUUAUUUCACAUGAGUAUUCUUUUGAAAUUGAUAGUUAUAGAGUAAGUAUAUAUGUUUAAUUUUAUAAGAAAUAGCCAAACACUUUUCCCAAGUGGUUAUAACAUUUCACUCUUCCUCCAAUAAUAUAUAAAAAGUCUAGUUUCUCCAUAUCUUUGCCAAUAUUUGGUAUUAUCAAUCACAUGUUGUCAUUCAAGUAGGUAUGAAGUAGUAUAUCAUUAUAGUGGUAUAAACUUGUAUAUCUCUGUGGUCAGUAAUGAUGAGCACUCUCGUGCUUGUUGGUCAUUUACAUAUCUUCUUUUAUAAAGGAUUUAUUCAAAUAGUUUGUCUAUUUUGUCAAUUGGGUUGUUUUUCAUUUUACUGUAAAAUUAGAAAGGUUAUUUACAUAUUCUAAAUAUAAGUCUUUAGCUAGACUUAAGGUAUUGCAUUUUUUUUCUCUCAGUAUGGGACUUAGCUUUUCAUUUCUGGAACAGUGUUAUUUGAUUAACAAAUUUUAUAGUUCUGAUUAAAUCUAAUUUUUUAUGAUGAAUGCUUUUGGGUCUGAUUUAAGAAUUUUUUGUCUUCCCAAAGAUUGCAAAAUAUUGCACAAUUUGAUCAAGAAGUUUUAGAUUUCACUUUAGAUUCUCCUUGUAGAAUUUUAAUCCCCUUAUUACCUCAAAGUAAGGAUUAAAACAGAUUUUCUCUUUUUUGUUGACUGACAUGUAAUACGGUGUAUAUAUUUCUAUUUAUUUAGAUCUUUUUAAAUUUUUUUCAAACAUGUUUUAUGGAAGUCUAACAUCACCUUUUGUUCUACUUUUUACUAGAGUUUUGAUAUGUUUCAUGCUAUUUUAAGUAGUAUCUUUAAAAUUUAAUUUCUAAUUACAGCUAGUGAUAGUAAUGCAUACGAUUAUUGCUACCGACUCUGAAUCAUACAAACUUGACAAUUCACUUAGUACUUUAGGUUUCCUUCUUCUGAUCCCAUAGAUUAUUCCAUGCAAAAAUAGACAUUUUUGUUUGUUGUUGCUAGGCCUAAGGUUUUCAACAUUAAGUGUGAUAUUAGAUGUAUAAUUUCUGAAGUCAUAAAAUUAGUUUCUAAGCAAAGGAAAUAUUUAUUCCCUUAUUCAUUCACUCAGUAAGUCAUCAUUCAUUUAAAAUGUGAGGCAUAUGCAGAGAUGGAAAAGGCUUUGUCCUCAUGGAGUUGAUAUAAAGACAAGAGAUGGAGGAAAAGAUAAUAUGCAAUAAAUAAAAAGACAAGAUUAAGUGAUGUUAUAGUAAGUUACUAGUGUGGGAGUACUUGGGUACUUUUUUCCAAUCACAACUUUUUUUUUUUAAGAUAAGUAUUUUCUAUCUGCUAAAAUAUUGCCCUUGUCAUAUAUGCUCCACAUGGAUAAGAGUGUUUUCUAUCUGUCCUACUCAUGUGUCUAAUAAGUGAAAGAGUUCUACAGUGAUUUCAUGAGUAGAUGCAUAAUUUCUUUUUACUUGAAAGAUGAUUAUCAACAUAAUCAUAACCAUUUUAUAUGACUAUCAAAAUAAUAUUUAUUUUUCAGAAAAUAGCUAAAAUAUAUUCUAUUAAUAUUUAUUUGGAAAGCUUUGUCUGAGAAAGCAUCACUAGGUACUCACUCCUAACAGAAUACUUAGUUUGUGCCAUCUAUAGCAUUUCAUUACAGCUUUGUAAAUACCUACUGAACAAAUUCUAAGCUCUUUGAAGUUGAAACCCAGACAAUGGCUGAUAAGUAGUGGGUGUUCCAUAGAUGUAUGUUUAAUGAAUUAAUGGAUUAACAUUAAUUGCUCUGUGGACAAUAAUGAUCCACUAAGCAAAAUACUCCAGAAAUUCUACAUUUAGUAUACUUAUAGAUCAGCAAUUUAUUACUUUAGGGUCUAUUUCACAGUAAAAAUGCAACUUUAUAGUGUGUAUGUCAGGGAACAUUAUUUUCUAUUUGAUAAGGACACUGCAUGAAUUUAGAGACAAUAACUUUUCUCUCUAUUAAUGUCAUCAUUCCACCAAGAGCCUAAGCCACUGACAUACAUUACAAAACACUAGGUCACAGAGAAAAUCACUUUCAAAUUUAUAUUGUGAAUGCACAAGUUAGAUUGAUUUAUACCUGUAAGUGACAAAUUGUUGCUGAAAUAAGAUGAAUGCAUUCACAAGUCAAUAGCUAAAGGAACUGAAAACUGUGCCUAUAUUUAUGCCAUAGCAGUCUGUUAGUUCACAAAGCUGUGGCAGAGGAUGAUAAUGCUGUAUAACCAAGUAUCCAAAAUGUCAAAAAUCUUAGGGAUCUGGCACAUGUAUACCUAUGUAACAAACCUGCAGGUUCUGCACAUGUAUCCCAGAACUUAAAGUACAAUAAUAAAAAAAAAUCUUAGGGAUCUAUUUAAAAUAAACCUCUGGAUACCUGAUUUUAUUCAGAGCACUAACCAUGACAUCAGGUAUCACAUAUUCAUGUUUGAUUUCUGUACAAUUUAAAAAUAAACAGAAGUAAAAUUGAAUAGGGGGAGGGGGAGGGACCCCAAUCUCUUAUCUCUGCUCCCUGAUCCCUUAUUUCCGCACCCCAACCUCUUACCUCUGUGCCCCG